rnacentral:rRNA from 1 species
GACGAACGCUGGCGGCGUGCCUAAUACAUGCAAGUCGAACGCAGUGGGGACGGGUGAGUAACACGUGGGUAACCUCCCAUCAGAGGGGAUAACACUUGGAAACAGGUGCUAAACCGAUACUGAUGUCUGGACCCGCUGUGCAUUAGCUAGUUGGUGAGGUAACGGCUCACCAAGGCCACGAUGCAUAGACGAGCGGAGAGGGUGAUCGGCCACACUGGGAAUGAGACACGGCCAAGACGCAUACGGAAGGCAGCAGUAGGGAAUCUUCGGAAAGGGACGAAAGUCUGACCGAGCAACGCCGCGGGAGUGAAGAAGGUUUUCGGAUCGUAAAACUCUGUUGGUAGAGAAGCGGUAUGUAAAGAGAAAGCCACGGCUAACUACGUGCCAGCAGCCGCGGUAAUUG